rnacentral:rRNA from 1 species
GAUAAACGCUGGCGGCGCACAUAAGACAUGCAAGUCGAACGGACUUAACCAUUAGUUUACUAUUGGAGCGGUUAGUGGCGGACUGGUGAGUAACACGUAAGCAACCUGCCUGUUAGAGGGGAACAACAGUUAGAAAUGACUGCUAAUACCGCAUAUGCCAUAGUGAGGACAUCCUUACAGUGGGAAAGGAGAAAUCCGCUAACAGAUGGGCUUGCGUCUGAUUAGCUAGUUGGUGGGGUAAUGGCCUACCAAGGCAACGAUCAGUAGCCGGACUGAGAGGUUGAACGGCCACAUUGGGACUGAGAUACGGCCCAG